rnacentral:miRNA from 1 species
CAUGGGCCCUCAAGCCAUUC